GGAGGGCGCAAGCGUUGUUCGGAAUCAUUGGGCGUAAAGCGCGUGUAGGCGGCUUGGCAAGUCGGGUGUGAAAUCCCGGGGCUCAACCCCGGAACUGCAUUCGAUACUGUCUCGCUAGAGUCCCGGAGAGGAAGGCGGAAUUCCCGGUGUAGAGGUGAAAUUCGUAGAUAUCGGGAGGAACACCAGUGGCGAAGGCGGCCUUCUGGACGGUGACUGACGCUGAGAUGCGAAAGCGUGGGGAGCAAACAGGAUUAGAUACCCUGGUAGUCCACGCCGUAAACGUUGGGUGCUAGGUGUCGCGGGUAUUGACCCCUGCGGUGCCGACGCUAACGCAUUUAGCACCCCGCCUGGGGAGUACGGUCGCGAGGCUA
rnacentral:rRNA from 1 species